rnacentral:tRNA from 1 species
GCGGUUGUAGCUCAGCUGGUAGAGCACUGGAUUGUGAUUCCGGGUGUCGCGGGUUCGAUCCCCGUCAAUCGCCCCA